rnacentral:lncRNA from 1 species
CAAGCCCUUCAUUUUUCUGUGCCUUGAUUUCCCCAUCUGUAAACCAAGAUACCAUUUAUGUAGGAUGGGUGUUUUAAAAUUAAUGAAUCAGUAUUUGCAAAGUGAUCUGCUUCAAAGGUGGUGUGCAGCAGCUUGAAAGGGAAGGCUGAACCUGAGAAAUCUCAGCUGGAGCUUCCCCUGGAGCCCUCUGUGCCUGAAGCCUCGUGCCGGCAGCGUUUCCCUUCCCAAAGCUGGUGCCUCACCUGGCAUUUGUCAGGAGAUCGGCUGAAGGGUGCCCUGAUGCCAUGCAGGUGCCACCACCGGCCUUUCCUCCCCCAACAGCAGAGGCUGAAGCUUUCACAGGGAAGUGUGCCAGUGAUGAGCAGGACCGUGGCUUGGGGGCCCCUUCCCCCUGGGAGCUGUGUCUGGGAGAACAAGGGCGCCUCUCGGCAGCACCGAUGGCCCUCACCCAGCCCAGGCACCCAGCUUUGUGUGGGGCUCGAGGAGGCACCGCCGCGUUUGCGCUCGGAUCGCCUCCAGCCAGCCGCCUCGCUUGCAAGCUGUCCAAUUCUCCAGUGCCGGUGCCAAAUUCCCCUUCCCUGAAUUGCUUCUCCCCUCUCUUUGGCUCCCUGUCAGCUCUGGAUGCCUUCGCAUCGCCUCCCUCGUGCCGGAUCCGGAUCGGCCGGAUCCGUGGUGCGUGCUCGGAGCCUCCCGCCAGCCUCCGCCUGCUCCCGGGGUUCCUGCCAGCGGGGGACGGAUCAGAGGUGGCUGCUCGAGGAUUUAACGAACGUGAUCAGAUUCCCUCACGUCUGCCUGGGGAACGUGGGAGAACUUCCCUGGUGCAGGGCAGCGGCAGCUCGCGCAGUCUCGUCCAGCACCUUUCUGGAGCACCCUGUCCAUCCGUGGCACCCUGACUUGCGCUGCGAGCAGCAUCCCCGAGCAGAGGCGGUGGCACCAGGGGGUGCUGCGUGCUCGCAGCUUGGACCGCAGACACUGCUGCUGCGAAAUGGCAACAAGAAGAAGGUGACUUUAUUUUACCUGCUUGUUUUUUAUUGUUACUGUUUUCAUUGGAUUGCUCCCAACUCACGCCCGGGAUGGUGAAGCCGUUAUUAGGACAUUUCUCACCGAAGCGCUGGAUGCUCUCCCUGCUCCUCGCUGUUGAGAUAUUUUAACUUCUGGGGUCUGGAGGAGGGACACCAAUCCCUGUGCUGGUGAGCAGCAGCUUGGGGCCAGGAGGGCCCCACAGCCUGGGACGGCUCCAUGGAGGUGCCAGCCCCCCGUGCCCCUCUCCCA